GGGGGCCGAGCCGCCUCUGACGGGGGCCGAGCCGCCUCUAAGGGCUUCGUGAAGCAGCAAACAAAUGCCGUGUCUUUCUGUUAUAACAUAGAAGAGCCCAGCCCAAAAACCGUGGUGCCCUCCUCGUGCUGACUCUUAGCUUCUGAAACUGGUGGGCGAGCCAUAAGGAGAAGACAGCUUUCUAGGGCCAUCCACAGUAAAGGACAAUCCCCAAACAGGCAAAAGCACACAUGCUACAUUACCAGAAAGGAAAGCUUUCAUCCUCAGCCCUGCCAAGCACAGAGUCACGCAGAUGUUCAUAUGCAACCAUCCGAACACCAGAGUACACUGUGGAAAACAAAAGCAGGAGGCCAGAACAAGGCCAUGAAGAGAGGGGACUGAACCAGAUUCUCAUAUAUUUCCAAGUGGGAUUACAAAGCAGGCUGAAGAAGUCCUCGCAGCUACAUUUAAAGUGCAACAAAGUAGGGGAAGCUCGUGGCCCAAGGUCGCUGGCCACUGAAAGCAGGACCUGAACUUGCCAAUAAUCACCUAUGUGCCGGUAGAC